GCGGUAAUUCAAGCUCCAAUAGCGUAAAUGUAAAUUGUUGCGGUUGAAAAGCUCGUAGUUGGACUUCUGGCGUCCGCGUUCGGUCCGCCAAGCGCGUGCACUGUCUGCGGGCGUCGUUUCAGUCGACGUGGCGCGUCGGACUUCAUUGGCCGGUGCGUCGUCUGUCGGCGAUGUUACUUUGAGGAAAUCAGAGUGCUCAAAGCAAGCGUUCGCUCGUGACUUCACUAGCAUGGAAUAACACAGAUGGGCUCUUUCUCGCACUGUUGGUCUGCGUCAAUUGAGCAACGAUCGAUAGAGACGGUCGGGGGCAUUCGUAUUGCGCAGUUAGAGGUGAAAUUCUCCGAUCUGCGCAAGACGCACUAAUGCGAAAGCAGUUGCCAAGGACGUCCUCUUAUGAUCAAGAGCGAAAGUCGGGGGAUCAAAGAUGAUUAGAUACCGUCGUAGUCCCGACCAUAAAUGAUGCCGACUGAGCUUCGGCGACUCGACCUCAGGUCGGACGUCGGCGCUCUUAGAGAAAUUAAAGUCUUUGGGCUCCGGGGGUAGUAUGGUCGCAAGUCUGAAACUUGAAGGAAUUGACGGAAGGGCACCACAAGGCGUGGAUGUUGCGGCUUAAUUUGACUCAACACGGGAAAGCUUACUAGGUUUGGACACCUUUGUGAUGGACAGAUUGAAGCUCUUACCCUACUGCGUGGAUGGUGGUGCAUGGUCGUUCUCAGCCCGUGGGUUGACCUGUCAGGUUUACUCCGGUAACGCGCGAGACCUCGGUCUGCUAAAUAGACGCGGCUGUUACGGCACCCGCGCUCUUCUUAGAGAGAGACUCGACGAGAGUCGAGGGAAGUCGAGGCAAUAACAGAUCUGUGAUGCCCUUAGUUAUCCUAGGUCGCACGCGCCAUACAAUGUGGCGCACAACGAGUCUCCUUGGCCGACAGGAUCUGGGCAAUCUGGCAGAGCGCUACGUGACUGGGCUAGACUUUUGUAAUUUUUGGUCUUGAACGAGGAAUGCCUAGUAAUCGCAGGUCAGCAUCCUGCGAUGAUUCGGUCCCUGCCCUUUGUACACACCGCCCGUCGCUCCAUCCGUGGCAUGCGCCGGUGAAGAGGGGGAGGCAGCGUCGGCCGUCUAACAGCGGAUCGUACGUGGAACCCCUCUGAACCUUCGCACGUAGAGGAAGGAGAAGUCGUAACAAGGUUUUYGUAGGUGAACCUGCGAAAGGAUCAUUACCGGCAC
rnacentral:rRNA from 1 species